rnacentral:precursor_RNA from 7 species
GCACCUUCACUCAUGUAGUGUGUGAUGUAUCACUUGAGGAUGUACCACCCAUUUAACAGGAAACAUGCUUGGUACAUCUUUGAGUGAGAUAACACACAACAGCUACCACCUCAAUACU